rnacentral:rRNA from 1 species
CAGUAGCCGCGGUAAUACGUAGGUGGCAAGCGUUGUCCGGAAUUAUUGGGCGUAAAGGGCUCGCAGGCGGUUUCUUAAGUCUGAUGUGAAAGCCCCCGGCUCAACCGGGGAGGGUCAUUGGAAACUGGGAAACUUGAGUGCAGAAGAGGAGAGUGGAAUUCCACGUGUAGCGGUGAAAUGCGUAGAGAUGUGGAGGAACACCAGUGGCGAAGGCGACUCUCUGGUCUGUAACUGACGCUGUGGAGCGAAAGCGUGGGGAGCGAAUAGGAUUAGAUACCCCAGUAGUCCCUGUCUCUUAUAC